UACGGAGGAUGCAAGCGUUAUCCGGAUUUAUUGGGCGUAAAGCGUCCGUAGGUGGCAAACUAAGUCAGUUGUUAAAGCGUAGAGCUUAACUCUAUAAGGGCAAUUGAAACUGGUUAGCUAGAGUGCGAUAGGGGCAAGGGGAAUUCCCAGUGUAGCGGUGAAAUGCGUAGAUAUUGGGAAGAACAUCGGUGGCGAAGGCGCCUUGCUGGGUCGGCACUGACACUGGGGGACGAAAGCUAGGGGAGCGAAAGGG
rnacentral:rRNA from 1 species